UAUAUAGGCCAUGGCUACUAUACUAUUAUGAGUAAUGGAGUCCUCGUACUCAUAAGUUGUUUUCAAUGAUGGAGCUUUCGAAUCGACGAUCCACUCCGUUAAAUAUGAUCUAGAGUAUUUGAAACUUCUAAAAAAUAAAUUUCGUAAAUUUUCUAAAUCAUAAUAAGGUCCAUCAAGUGGACAUAAAAUGAACGGUCAAAAUCGAACGACGUCCUAAAAAAGGAUGAUCGGAUCUUUCAAUUCAAGAUCGGAGUUAUUGAUCUUUAUCUAUAUAGUGAAUAGAAUUUUCUAUCAAAAAUUCAACAAAUUUCGAUUCUUUUACACCGUUAAACUAGCAAGUAUCCCAUACAGGCCGUUAAAAAUUGUCAAACUUUUGACCUCUUG
rnacentral:lncRNA from 1 species